UUACGACUACAUAUCAGGCAUAUCAAUAAGCGGAGGAAAAGAAACUAACUAAGGAUUCCCUCAGUAACGGCGAGUGAAGCGGGAAGAGCUCAAAUUUGAAAUCUUCAAGGUUUUACCUUGACGAAUUGUAGUUUAAAGAAGUGUUUUCUGUUGAAGUUUUCGGUGAAAAGUUCUUUGGAAUAGGACAUCAUAGAGGGUGAGAAUCCCGUAUUUGACCAUUAUUUCCAGCUGUGUGAUACACUUUCAAAGAGUCGGAUUGUUUGGGAAUGCAGUCCAAAAUGGGUGGUAAAUUUCAUCUAAAGCUAAAUAUUGGCGAGAGACCGUAUAGCGAACAAGUACCGUGAGGGAAAGAUGAAAAGAACUUUGAAAAGAGAGUUAAACAGUACGUGAAAUUGUCAAAAGGGAAGCGUUUGACACCAGUGUUGUUUUCUCGAAAAUCAAUUAAAAAAAGUUGGAUUUUGUGUUGUAAUAUUGACCUUAACAGCUUGCUUCACUCUUUUCCAGCUUUUUUUAAUGCACUUUUCGUUUAACAAGUCAACAUCAGUUUCUUUUGUUGUAAAAGGGUCAUUGGAAGGUGGCUUUCUCUUCGGAGAAAGUGUUUAUAGCCUUUGGCCUCUGCAAUCGGAGAGAUUGAGGUCUGCAGCGUAGAUCCUUCGGGGUUAGAUACAUUUGUGCUAAGCUACAGCUUUUCAUAGACAACUUGUUGACUAUGUUUAGUCUUGUAACUUACCCGCUUAUGCUAUUUUACCUACGCUUAGGAUGUUGAGCGCAUGUCUCUCUCU
rnacentral:rRNA from 1 species